ensembl:lncRNA
GCAUGGAUGAGGAAUGCAGAAGAUAUGGGAGGUUGUGAGCUAUGUUUAUGUUGAUGAAUUUGGACACCUGGAUCAACCUGAAUGCCAUCUCUUUCUGCAUUCGGUUUUCGGCCAAGAAAUCUUUGGUGGAAAAUACGCUGAUGUAUGGCACUUCUUUUUCUGCCUGUCUUAUUAUGCUACAAUAUGUGAAUAGAAAUAACCAGAUUUGUCAUUAUUGUGUAUGUAGCUACAUCAUGGAUGACAGCCAUGUACUGCUGACUGAGCAUUUAAUUCAAGUCAGACUGGGACAAAUUAGAUCACCUCUUCCCGGACACUUGAGUCUUUCAAAGGGGUUUAACCUUUUUAAACAAACAUUUUAUUCUUUUUUAAAGCCUGCCAUAUGUGUUAACUUUGAGGACAUCCGAGAUAGAAUAGACCAGAAUAGGCAGUUUUCAGCCAGCCGUUUUCACCGUCAAAAUAAGGCCCAUGGUCUUUCUUGCCAGGGUGGAUGAUGAAGAAUUUCCACCGACUUUUCCAUGGACAAAAGUCAGCAUAGCUCCCAUCUGUUGAAAACAUUAAAGGUUGUGAGAACACUGACGGUAAAACGCCAUAAUUCAUGCUCUUCGGGGCUCAGACUGGCCUGAUGUAUUUGGGAGAGAAAUGUGGAAAUAUCAGCCGAGUGUGUACAGCCUGAUCCUCCCUGAUGACAGCAGGGAUAUAAAACCUGAGGCUCUGACGGUCUGCGGCUCCAUACUGCCUCGCCUCAGCAUGGAUGGGCCGCUGCUCUGCGGGCUGCUUUGUCUGCUGUUCUACCUGGUGGCAUCGACCCCUCUAGGGUCACCUCAAGACUCCUCUCUGACCACAGACACGCAGGGCCAUAGCUGGGAGACUGCAGAUGUCAGCACAGAUGUGCUUCCAGAGGUUCAGCUAACACAGAAGAGCUCCCCGUGGAAUCCUGCCAUCACUCACAUGAGCCUCAGGAUAAGACGGCAAACAGAUCAGAAAAAGAAGAAGAAGAAGAAGAAGAGGCCCAACCCAGGAUCUUCCUCCUUGCUAAGCAGUCCCCGAACCAAGAGGAACGCUGAUGUGGCUGCCUUCUUGCUGAUCCCAAAUGCUCCAUAGCAUUAGCAGGCCCCUAACCCUUUGCUGUGAACGCCGGACAGGAGACAGUUGAAGUUGAAGAAACCCAUUCCAUCCAGAUCAGAAGGUCACUGCAGGGGGUCAUGUUAGACUUCCUCAGUUCAACCCGUCUGCUAAGUCCUACUUUGCAUUUAUGGAUGGAGAGAUAAGAAUAGUCGGCGUGGUACCGCUGCUGGCCUUAUAUUUAGCAUUUAGUCACUGGUCUGUAGAGAUUUUAGUAUGGUUUGCCAGAAUUUUGCUCUAUGUUAAACUAUUUUUUUUCUCCCAGGUUGCCCACACCACAGAGGGAAAAAUAACAGUAUAACACAAAUUAUGUUCUUUUUAACCUGUUCUUUUUUUUUGUCACUGGUCAACAUGUGACAGCAGUGGCACAGAUUCAUGAACUGUAUGCUAAAACACACUUAGAUGAUGCAAAACAUAAGGUGAAACUUUAAAAUACAACAAAUAAACCAUAAAGACAUUUAUGUUUCA